UACGUAGGGUGCGAGCGUUAAUCGGAAUUACUGGGCGUAAAGCGUGCGUAGGCGGUUCGCUGUGUCCGAUGUGAAAGCCCCGGGCUUAACCUGGGAAUGGCAUUGGAAACUGGCGGGCUUGAGUGUGGCAGAGGGGGUGGAAUUCCGGCGUGUAGCAGUGAAAUGCGUAGAGAUGCGGAGGAACACCGAUGGCGAAGGCAGCCCCCUGGGUUAACACUGACGCUCAGGCACGAAAGCGUGUGGAGCAAACAGG
rnacentral:rRNA from 1 species